rnacentral:misc_RNA from 1 species
AAGUCGUAACAAGGUAAGGCAAUGUUUCCCCAAGCAGUCAGUGUCGGAAAGUGUCAUUGAUUGUGCAAGGAUAGCGCUUACGAUUCCUGUAGACCGUACACUCGGGCAGGAGCUUUGCCAAAGGGUCCCCAUGCCCCCUAAUAAUCCCACAGUUUAAUGUGAAGCUCAAUGUAAUACAUUGGGUAAAAAAACCGAACAACUGUUAACAAUGGAUAUCUUGGUUCUC